GACGAACGCUGGCGGCGUGCUUAACACAUGCAAGUCGAACGGAAAGGCCCUGCUUUUGUGGGGUGCUCGAGUGGCGAACGGGUGAGUAACACGUGAGUAACCUGCCCUUGACUUUGGGAUAACUUCAGGAAACUGGGGCUAAUACCGGAUAGGAGCUCCUGCUGCAUGGUGGGGGUUGGAAAGUUUCGGCGGUUGGGGAUGGACUCGCGGCUUAUCAGCUUGUUGGUGGGGUAGUGGCUUACCAAGGCUUUGACGGGUAGCCGGCCUGGGAGGGUGACCGGCCACAUGGGGACUGAGAUACGGCCCAGACUCCUACGGGAGGCAGCAGUGGGGAAUAUUGCACAAGGGGCGGAAGCCGGAGGCAGCAACGCCGCGUGCGGGAUGACGGCCUUCGGGUGGUAAACCGCUUUCGCCUGUGACGAAGCGUGAGUGACGGUAAUGGGGAAAGAAGCACCGGCGAACUACGU
rnacentral:rRNA from 1 species